CUGGCCCAUCCUAACAUCUGCCCCAUUUAUGACCUGCUUGAACACUGGAGGGGACUGGAGGGACUGGUCCUGUACAAUGAUUCCAGCAGGAUCUCUAUUACGUGGGAAGCUACAGGAUAUCCGAGAGGAGUUUUGGAGUUCACUGAUGAUGGUAUGCGAGAAACCAGAGGUCAUGAAUGAGGCCAAUGACUCGUUUCAAUGAACGUUUUCAAUGAACGUUUGCGACAAGAGCUGAUUGGACAAAAGGAUAUAGUGUGUGAUCACCGAGGAUCCCAAUGCCACUAAGAUGAAUGAAGAGGACCCUGUCUAAAACAAAACAAAUCUUGACCAUGGAAGAGUAGUAUAAGUAAAAAAGGGAGACAAAAAUGUCUUUUGUGGCUCCAGAUAUCUGCUAGAUCUUUCAGUGUCUUGGUGUUUUGUCUACAUGUCCUUCUGUGCACCAUGCCUAGUACCCAUGGAGGCCAGAAAGGGAAGCUGAAUUGCUCCUGGGAUUGGAGUUGCAAGCCAUUGAUUACAGGCCAGUGCCACCACACCCAGCUUCAAAGGCAAGAAAGAGGCAGGGUUUUUCUUCUAUGAGGCUCUGCAUCAGACUCCACUGUAGCUGCGUCCAGGACAAAGAAGAAAUUACAAGUGAUAUUGCUGGAUGACUGGAUUGCGGUUGCUUAUGCUCUUAUU